GGGGAUGCACUGGUUUCGACGGGAUUGUUGAAAUUAGGAUAGCGAGUAGAGGGUUCCGUUGGCCUCUUUAAAAAGCGGAGAAAUUUUUAAAUGCCGAAAAACAACCGGUAUUAGCAGCUGCUUAAUAAUUGCUGCUCCGGGAACCGCCUGAUCUGCAAGGCGAAUUCCCUGUCGAUUCGCAGACCUUGCCUUUAGGAGGUUAAAUAGGUAAACCUUCAUUUCAAAGCUUUGCGAUUUGAUUGUAUUAUGAAGCUACUGCCAUUGAACUUCGUCAUUAAAGGUCAAUGUCAGGAAAAAUAAAGUAAUGACUGCACUCGGAGAAAUCUUAACGGAGGCAUUUUCGGACACGGGUUCAACUCCCGUCAUCUCCACCA
rnacentral:tmRNA from 1 species